CCUACGGGAGGCAGCAGUGGGGAAUAUUGCGCAAUGGGGGAAACCCUGACGCAGCAACGCCGCGUGGGUGAAGAAGGCUUUCGGGUCGUAAAGCCCUGUCAGGUGGGAAGAAACUCUUCAGUACUAAUAAUGCUGAAGCCUGACGGUACCACCAGAGGAAGCACCGGCCAACUCCGUGCCAGCAGCCGCGGUAAU
rnacentral:rRNA from 1 species